AUUGAACGCUGGCGGCAGGCCUAACACAUGCAAGUCGAACGAGUGGCGGACGGGUGAGUAAUGUCUGGGAAACUGCCUGAUGGAGGGGGAUAACUACUGGAAACGGUAGCUAAUACCGCAUACCAUCGGAUGUGCCCAGAUGGGAUUGGCUAGUAGGUGGGGUAAAGGCUCACCUAGGCGACGAUCCCUAGCGGGUCUGAGAGGAGGACGAGCCACACUGGAACGAGGACACGGUCCAGACUCCUACGGAGGGCGGCGGGGGGGAAUAUUGCACAAUGGAGGCAAGCUUAAGGCAGCCAGGCCGCGUGGAGGAAGAGGGCCUUGGGGUGGUAAAGUACGUUCAGCGGGGAGGCGUUACCCGAAGAAGAAGCACCGGCUAACUCCGUGCCAGCAGCCGCGGUAAUUC
rnacentral:rRNA from 1 species